rnacentral:rRNA from 1 species
GAUGAACGCUGGCGGCGUGCCUAAUACAUGCAAGUCGAGCGAACAGACGAGGAGCUUGCUCCUCUGACGUUAGCGGCGGACGGGUGAGUAACACGUGGAUAACCUACCUAUAAGACUGGGAUAACUUCGGGAAACCGGAGCUAAUACCGGAUAAUAUAUUGAACCGCAUGGUUCAAUAGUGAAAGACGGUUUUGCUGUCACUUAUAGAUGGAUCCGCGCCGCAUUAGCUAGUUGGUAAGGUAACGGCUUACCAAGGCAACGAUGCGUAGCCGACCUGAGAGGGUGAUCGGCCACACUGGAACUGAGACACGGUCCAGACUCCUACGGGAGGCAGCAGUAGGGAAUCUUCCGCAAAGGGCGAAAGCUUGACGGAGCAACGCCGCGUGAGUGAUUAAGGUCUUCGGAUCGUAAAACUCUGUUAUUAGGGAAGAACAAAUGUGUAAGUAACUAUGCACGUCUUGACGGUACCUAAUCAGAAAGCCACGGCUAACUACGUG